UUACGACCGUAUCACGUUGAAACACCAGUUCCCGUGCAAUCAUCAAAAUUAAGCAACGUCGAGCCUGGUCAAUACCUAGAUGGGUGACCGCUCGUAAAUACCAGGUGCUGAAU